rnacentral:rRNA from 1 species
UUCCGGAGUUGAGGGAUAUGUAAACAAUUAGUUAUUACCAACACAAUGGUCAUGAUCAUAAUCGUGGUCGCGGCAGCAGACGUCGAGCUCUUCACGACGCCACCGCUCUCCUUCCACGUCCCCACCAAGUUCAAAGAAGGUGCGACGGCGGCGAACCUGUCACCAGCCUUUAGGCCUUUAGGUCUGUCACCUUUCACACCGGCGACGGUGGCAAACCUCGCCUGGGGCUUCGACUUCUUUAGCUACGCGAUGGCGGAUGCCUUGCUCUCCCUCGGAAACAUCAUGAUGGCCACGGUCAAUCCUGCCCUACCCACCGGCAUGGUCGCCGUCGCACACAUCACCUUCCCAUCCAGCCUGCGCCCGCCGACCGUCUCGCACGACCCGCUCCACAACUACCCGGCUCCUUCUUGCAUGAAAACGCCAUAUAUUUCAUAUUGA